rnacentral:rRNA from 1 species
CCUACGGGAGGCAGCAGUGGGGAAUCUUGCGCAAUGGGCGAAAGCCUGACGCAGCCAUGCCGCGUGAAUGAUGAAGGUCUUAGGAUUGUAAAAUUCUUUCACCGGGGACGAUAAUGACGGUACCCGGAGAAGAAGCCCCGGCUAACUUCGUGCCAGCAGCCGCGGUAAUACGAAGGGGGCUAGCGUUGCUCGGAAUUACUGGGCGUAAAGGGCGCGUAGGCGGAUCGUUAAGUCAGAGGUGAAAUCCCAGGGCUCAACCCUGGAACUGCCUUUGAUACUGGCGAUCUUGAGUAUGAGAGAGGUAUGUGGAACUCCGAGUGUAGAGGUGAAAUUCGUAGAUAUUCGGAAGAACACCAGUGGCGAAGGCGACAUACUGGCUCAUUACUGACGCUGAGGCGCGAAAGCGUGGGGAGCAAACAGGAUUAGAUACCCUGGUAGUCCACGCCGUAAACGAUGAUUGCUAGUUGUCGGGCUGCAUGCAGUUCGGUGACGCAGCUAACGCAUUAAGCAAUCCGCCUGGGGAGUACGGUCGCAAGAUUAAAACUCAAAGGAAUUGACGG